AUAUCAAUAAGCGGAGGAAAAGAAACUAACAAGGAUUCCCCUAGUAACUGCGAGUGAAGCGGGAAAAAGCUCAAAUUUAAAAUCUGUCAGUCUUUGGCUGUCCGAGUUGUAAUCUAGAGAAGUGUUAUCCGCGCUGGACCGUGUACAAGUCUCCUGGAAUGGAGCGUCAUAGAGGGUGAGAAUCCCGUCUUUGACACGGACUGCCAGGGCUUUGUGAUGCGCUCUCAAAGAGUCGAGUUGUUUGGGAAUGCAGCUCAAAAUGGGUGGUAAAUUCCAUCUAAAGCUAAAUAUUGGCGAGAGACCGAUAGCGAACAAGUACCGUGAGGGAAAGAUGAAAAGAACUUUGGAAAGAGAGUUAAACAGUACGUGAAAUUGCUGAAAGGGAAACGCUUGAAGUCAGUCGCGUUGUUCAGGGAUCAACCUUGCUUUUGCUUGGUGUAUUCUCUGGUUGACGGGUCAGCAUCAAUUUUGACUAUUGGAAAAAGAUUAAGGGAAUGUGGCAUCCUCGGAUGUGUUAUAGCCCUUGGUUGCAUACAAUGGUUGGGAUUGAGGAACUCAGCACGCCGAAAGGCCGGGUUUUAACCACGUACGUGCUUAGGAUGCUGGCAUAAUGGCUUUAAUCGACCCGUCUUGAAACACGGACCAAGGAGUCUAACAUGCCUGCGAGUGUUUGGGUGGAAAACCCGAGCGCGUAAUGAAAGUGAAAGUUGAGAUCCUUGUCAUGGGGAGCAUCGACGCCCGGACCAGACCUUUUGUGACGGUUCCGCGGUAGAGCAUGUAUGUUGGGACCCGAAAGAUGGUGAACUAUGCCUGAAUAGGGUGAAGCCAGAGGAAACUCUGGUGGAGGCUCGUAGCGAUUCUGACGUGCAAAUCGAUCGUCAAAUUUGGGUAUAGGGGCGAAAGACUAAUCGAACCAUCUAGUAGCUGGU
rnacentral:rRNA from 1 species